CUUCUUGUUAUUGAAGAAACAAGUAAGGUUUUCACUGACAUGGUGAGACCUCCUCUUGCAUGUUAUCUUUUCCAGGUAACACAGGAUGCAGAGGGGGACAAGCGAUGCUGUGCUCAGCUGUGGGAGCAGGCACUUCCUGGCAGGCUCCAGGACACACGUGCUCUGGUCAAACCAGGUUAGAAGCAGCAGAAGAUCUGGGAAAACACUUUGGGAGCCCCAUUGCUCCUCACCUGGACACAUCCCACCACUGGCAGGCAUAUGGGGAGCAAUCCGGCUGCCACAGGCCCAGUGAGGACAGCAGCACCCAGCCCAGGAUGGGGGACUGCAGCCUUGGUGCCAUCUGCCCAAGGUCAAGCGCUCCCACGAGCUACCACCACAUUUAGAAGCGCUUCUAACGAACAAGCAUCUUGUUGCCAUCAUUCCUUGUCCUUUCUGGACAUCAGCAACGUUUUUCCUGGCAGCAUCUCCCUGGUGUGACUCCUUUUCUACCUUGACAAGCGUCGCACAGCUCCGCUGGGGGCUGGCAUUCGAAGGAAGAGGGAGGAAGCACGAAGUGUGCAGCCUGCAGAAGCCUGGAGUUCUGCACUUGAACCUGUAGCCCAGCUCCCCCCUCCACCCAGCCCCGUCCCACAUCUGCGCUUCUCUCCAGAGAUCCCCAUUCAAACACCACGCAUGAACAGAACAAGGCUGUGCCCUACAGAACUCCAGACCUCACCAGUUUCGCUUCACUCUGCAUCUUGCUUCCCCUCGGGCUGCCUUUACUUCGAUCUCCAUUUUCACUUUUCACAGAGCACUUCUCAGCCCUGAGCCAAAACCAGGAUUCUUACAGGAUGCCGUUAGGAACUUGGAUGGGAUCUCAUCUUGUGUUCAUAAGGCUCAUGUUCUCAUGUUCUUACCUGGU
rnacentral:lncRNA from 1 species